UUGGCCAUCGACAAACCUGGGCCAUUCUUUCAAAAGUGGUCAAGAAAUGUUCGAUGUCAUCAUCAGGUAGUAGAGGAUGUAGCUUAGGUUCUCUGUGCAUGCUGAAAUCCCUCUCAGGUCCAGCAUCCGAAGACAGUUGACUUGUCCCCUCUCCUGGAUCCUCUCUGUCCUCUUGAGGCCGCAGUGCUCCUGACUGUAGCUGGUCACCUCCAGAAUCUUGCCUCAGAUCAUACACUUGUUGCUGUAUUUGAUGAAACUGAUGCUGCAUAGAUUUCCAUCUAUGGUCUUGACGAGCAGCUUCUUUUGCCAGCUGUUGGUCUCUCACUGAUUGAGACUCAAUGAGCGAUUUCACCAAAUCUGCAAGCUCCUCAAUCUUCUCAGGGUUGCUGGGUGCCACGCCCACCUGAUCAGCAGAUGAUUUUGCUCCCUCAUCAGGCUCCACCUGUUGGUCUUGCUUCCUCUUUUCUCUGUCUUUCGUCAUCCUCAACUCCACUUUGUGACUCCGGCCACAGCUUCUGACACCACUUGUUAGGAUGGCCCUUAGCGGCUGGUUUACAGAGGAGUCUUGAGGCAGAGAAAUAGUGCAGACCAACCAGGUGUUUAUUUUCCAACAUUUAACAUAGAGACAAUCCUGCUUACAAUGGCCCUGGGUCUUAGCAGCAGCCACACCAACUAACCUGCAAUGUGGCCAACAUACAGGUUUUUAUAGUCCCUGGCUGCUCCCAUUAACAACCCCACCAAGAAACAGGGUAGGACAAAAUACCUAUAUACAGACAAUCUUAACAAAACAACUAAAUCUUCAACAUAAUCAUAACAACACUCUUCAUUUUUAAGCUGCCCUUUCAUUUCUAAAAUACCUUUCUAUAAAUAUAAAUCCAAUCAUUACACUUCUAAAAUACAUAGUUUCAUCGCUCCCCCUCUUCCAUCUGCAUUUGGUCUCUUCCGGAACCUUUAUAAGGUGUUCAGGCCCCCGGGGAAUCUUUUAGCCUGAACACCCUGCAGAGGAAGAGACAGAGGACACCAUCAGUUCCAGCUGAGGUGCCACUGGACAAAACACAAACAAUAAAAUACUUCAAUUUG